rnacentral:rRNA from 1 species
GCGCAGCAGUCGCGAGACCUUUGCAAUACACGCAAGUGUGACAGGGUCAUCCCGAGUGCCGACCGCUGAGGUUGGCUUUUACCCAGUCUAGAAAGCUGGGGGAAUAAGGAGAAGGCAAGUCUGGUGUCAGCCGCCGCGGUAAUACCAGCUCUCCGAGUGGUGUGGACGUUUAUUGGGCCUAAAGCAUCCGUAGCUGGCUGAACAAGUCCCCUGUUAAACCCACCGAUUUAAUCGUUGGCUUGCGGGGGAUACUGCUCGGCUAGGGGACGAGAGAGGCAGACGGUAUUCCCGGGGUAGGGGUGAAAUCCUAUAAUCCCGAGAAGACCACCAGUGGCGAAGGCUGUCUGCUAGAACGCGCCCGACGGUGAGGGAUGAAAGCUGGGGGAGCGAACCGGAUUAGAUACCCGGGUAGUCC